GCUUGCUUCUGAGUGUUCCCUUCAGGAAGGAAUGUCCCUUCAGGAAGCUGUCCUUGAUGAUUCAAUCGGCUGGCUUUUCCCUUCCUUCAUGUUCUCUCAGAUGGAGCUGACAACAUAAGAGUCAAAUGUCCAAGCCCAUUAAAGUACGGAUUCGAGUUAAGGGGAAAGCAGAACCCGAGUAGCAUCUCCGUCCUGGAAGCUGGAAGAGGCCAGUGUAGAAGCUGAGGUAGUGUCAGUCUUCAGUUGUGGAGUUGUAACACCGUAGAGCUGGAGUAUAAGCCCUUGGACUUGAAUUGGUCAUGAACCUGAGAAACCCACAUCACUCAGAGUGCUGCCAGGUUUCUCGACUUCUGUCAGGACUUAGCAGGCUUACCGGUUCUACGAGUUUGUCUCCACUACCAGAAUGUGGGCAAGUCAAUUAAAAAAAAAAAAAAAUUACAAACCUGCCAUAAGAAUAGUGACUGGGGCUGAAGAGAUGCUCGGUGGUUAAGGAGGCAUGCUUCUCAUAGGAGACCUGCAUUUGCUUCCCAGCAUCCUUGUCAGGUGGACCACAGCUUCGUCUUCAUGGGGCCCAGUGCCCUCUGGCCUUCUCAGGUGUGAAAUGAUUCCAUGCCAUGUGGAGGAGCAAGAUGUCAUCUCUGAGAUUGGUCCUUAUGCAAACCAAAAGCUUGAUCCAACAGUCAGUCUCCAUGCUCACACUCAUGAAUCCCACCUUCCCCCCUUUCCUGGAUGCUCCUCAUUACAAGUUUGGUGUGAAUUUAACACCUGUGACACAUCUCAGCUUGGGUCAGCUACAUAAUAAGCUCUCAGGGCUAUCAGCUGCUGUACUGGCCAGGUGAAAAAGAAGUUGUCCCAAGAAAUCACAUAUACCCAUGUCUAAGCAACUUAAUAUAGAUUAACAGAGCGUAAGCAAGCAAGGUAUUUUCUCAUCCAGUUCUUUUGCUAGCAGGCUGCAUUUUGAGGUUAGAAAGAAAGGACCAAUGGUGUUAUUAUAUAUCUCAAAAGGUAAUCUUAUAAGGAAUCUUAAAAGAAUCACAAACUUAAACUUUUAUAUAUGAAAAAAUCAGUCAGCUCUACUUUAAAUCUUUAGGGUGCACAUCAACAGUUAUUUUUACAUCAGGAAGUUGAGGAUAGAAACGGGCACAAGGAAUUAAUCGUCACCUUUGGUCACCAACCCAUCCUAGCAAGAAAGGUAUGUAAGCUAAUAAUAGUUGGGCUGCUUUGUUUUUGAUCCCUAACCUUAACAAACCUAUCACCCAGCUGUAUGUCCUUUAACUUUUUUUGAAGGUUUUUUUCCCCCUCUAAAGCCAUUUGAAAACAUCUUAGUCUAACCUUAAAUUAUUUUCAAAGCUUUGUUUCAGCUAUGACGCACUCCAAAACCUCUGAACUCAUCUCUCAACAUUAAGAUUAAAAGAAUUUAAGCUAGCUGGGCUUACUGGGACACAAUUGUUUUUCUUAAUCAUUAACCUAAACCACAAGUCUAUUGGCGCCUCAGUAGGAACCCAUGUGUUGUAGCUGUGUGACACUUCCUUGUUUUAUUUUUUUAUCCUCUGCAGCCUCUACUUUAUCAGAGGCAGGAGCAACAUUUUAUCCUACCUUUAUCUAAGUUAAUUUUUCUACUGAACUAAUCUCUAUCAGAAUUCUUCACUAUAUUUAUUAAAAUCCCUCAGUCAUUAAAAUCUUAUUUAAACUAACACUAUUGUUGUAUAAAAAUCAUUGCUUUAGUUAAAUAGUACAGCUUAGGAGGAAAUCGUCUUGAUUUCACAGGUAAAAACACCCAGUAGAGUGGGAUAUUUCCAUGACAUGAUCAUACUGCAUUAAGGGCAGUGACAUUUCCCCAUGCCCAUUCCCACCAUGCCAGAUACCAGAGAAAGACACAGCUGUAACAAGAAACCUGCUGGGGUUGAGGCUCCCAGGGGCUUGCCUAUCUGAGAUUCAUCCAUCAGGGUUUUGUUUCCUGGUGGGCUGAUUCCCUGAAGUCAGUUGUCAUCUGCUGUUCCUCUGACAUGGCCACUGUCAAGAAGACUACUCAGUGGUGAGGUGGUGGGGCCACCAGGAAGGAGCAUAGAAAAGUCCAAGAUACAGACGUGGAGCAGUGUGCGUGUGUGAAACCUGAAAUCUUCUGAUUUCAGCGUUAACGAUAGAUGAGCCCCAGCUUUCUUUAGUUGGCUGCCAGCAGCAUAGUGGGUGGUAGGUGAACCAAGUUUGAGGUAGGGAUGAAGGAUCCGGCAUUAAACAGUUGCCAUCUUACCAAAAUAGUUAAAUACUAUGUACCAAUGUUUCUGUCAGCGACAGUCACAUAUGUUAUUGUAUAUAAUGCAUAGCACAGAUCCUAUAGGAUCUGUACCUAGACUGUACCAUGUAAAUUCUUGUGAGUGCAUUCUGUGAUAUUUACACAAUGACCAAAAAAUUGUCUAACCACACCUUUCUCAGAAUGAAUGUAUCAUUAUGGCCAAGAAAUAUGUGACCACACUUGUACAUACUAGAGACUUUGGAAGAAAUGACCCAGAGGCUUAAAAGAGGUCCUGGGAAAUGAGCAUCAAAGGACCACAGCAUCAUUCUGAGUCCAGAGAUAAGCCAUGUUUGCCUGGGGACUGUGGAGAGCCUGCUAUGUUACCUCCCCUACUCUUGCUAUCUGGCAAGGGAGGUGUCUGCACUCAGCAAAUCCCAAAGAGAGGGUGAUGCUUGCUGUUGCUACCAGGAAAAGGCUGGGCAUUAGUGACCAGAUCACUAGGUUCUGGUCAACAAUCUCAUACACACACACACACUUUAGAUAAUCUUUUCUUUUUGCCUUCACAUGAGACAGGACAUCUGAUGUCUUUUGUCUUUCUGUGUCUGACUAUUGCAAUUAACAUGGUAUCUUCCAGCUUUCUCAACAUUGCAGCAAAUGAUAUGAUUUCCUUCUUUCUGACUGAAUAUUACUCCUUUGUGUGUAUGUAUUAAUUUUCUUCAUUCAUUUGUGGGUGUCUGGUCAUGUUCCACAUAAUAUUGUAAAUAGUACUACAAUAAAUAUGAAGAGUGCAGAUAUACUCUUUGGCAUGCUGAUUUUAUUUCCUUUAACAAUUGUGGAUUUCCAGUGCAAUGGUACAUUGCUGAGAUUCAUGAGAAAGGCUGAAAUCCUG
rnacentral:lncRNA from 1 species